rnacentral:rRNA from 1 species
CUGCGAUCCCAGGUCAGGCGGGAUCACCCGCUGAGUUUAAGCAUAUCAAUAAGCGGAGG